rnacentral:rRNA from 1 species
AUACGGAGGAUCCGAGCGUUAUCCGGAUUUAUUGGGUUUAAAGGGAGCGUAGGCGGAUUAUUAAGUCAGUUGUGAAAGUUUGCGGCUCAACCGUAAAAUUGCAGUUGAUACUGGUAGUCUUGAGUGCAGCAGAGGUAGGCGGAAUUCGUGGUGUAGCGGUGAAAUGCUUAGAUAUCACGAAGAACUCCGAUUGCGAAGGCAGCUUACUGGACUGUAACUGACGCUGAUGCUCGAAAGUGUGGGUAUCAAACAGGAUUAGAUACCCUGGUAGUCCACACAGUAAACGAUGAAUACUCGCUGUUUGCGAUAUACAGCAAGCGGCCAAGCGAAAGCAUUAAGUAUUCCACCUGGGGAGUACGCCGGCAACGGGGAAACUCAAAUGAAUUGGCGGGG